GGCCGCGGGAAUUCGAUUCAGGCCUAACACAUGCAAGUCGAACGGCAGCACGGACUUGGGUCUGGUGGCGAAAAACGAACGGGUGAGUAAUAUAUCGGAACAUACCCAGUAGUGGGGGAUAACUAUCCGAAAGGAUAGCUAAUACCGCAUACGAUCUGUGGAUGAAAGCAGGGGAUCUUCGGACCUUGUGCUAUUGGAAUGGCCGAUAUCUGAUUAGCUAGUUGGUAGGGUAAAAGCCUACCAAGGCGACGAUCAGUAGCUGGUCUGAGAG
rnacentral:rRNA from 1 species